UAUGAAGCCACUCAUAUACCAGAGAAUACUUGACUAUCCAUCCACAAUCCCAUUUUAUCUUUUACCCUAUUUUUGCAAGACAGGUGCUCUGCCACUUGGGCACAUUUCUAGUCUUCAUUUUCCAUGGGAAGAUACUUUCUCAAGGGUAAUGUCAAUAGGAUCUCACCAUGUGUUGUCUUUCUUAUUUUAUAUGAAAGGAGAACUGUAGACAAAAUUCUAAAUGGUCUUAGUAAAUAAGCAACACAGAGCCAAAUACAGAGUUAAAAGUCCAAGAGAUCAGAGCACUAGUGAAGAGCCAAGAGAGCCUUAUCUUAAUCCCUGGCUGCUGUCUCUUCUCUAGAGAGAGAGACCUUCUUCCUGUGUGACUUGUCUUUUUAUUGACUUUCUAGUCUGCCUUCUCAUUGGCUCUAAACACAACCACAUGACUUUCCUGUCACUGCCUGUCUACACAGACCUCCAGGUCUCUAUGGUUGGUACUGGGAUUAAAGGUUCAGGUCACCACUCCUUGGCUGUGUCCUUGACCACACAGAGACUCUGCCUGCCAUGGGAUUGGAUUAAGGGAAAUCAGCCUGAAGAUGUCUUUUCAUCAUGACAUCACUUUGAAUCUGAGUCACUGAUUUCCAUGUGUGCAAGAAUGGAAGACACAGCUAAUUUGAAAACUCAGAAGAACUAGAAUUAGAAACAAUACCGGAUUUAAAACUGGAAAAUGAAAAUGCUUAUAAUAAGAAUGAAGACUAUCAAAAGUUG